GAUGAAGAACGCAGCGAAAUGCGAUACUUGGUGUGAAUUGCAGAAUCCCGUGAACCAUCGAGUCUUUGAACGCAAGUUGCGCCCGAAGCCAUUAGGCCGAGGGCACGCCUGCCUGGGCGUCACACGUCGUUGCCCCCUCAUCUACUCCUUCGGGAUUGCGGGGGGCGGAUGAUGGCCUCUCGUGCGCCUCGUCGCGCGGUUGGCCUAAAUGCCAAGUCCUCGGCGACGCACGCCACGACAAUCGGUGGUUGCGAAACCUCGGUUGCCUGUCGUGUGCGGUCGUCGCGCAUCGAGGGCUCGAAAAAAUUGCCGGGCUUCGGCUCGACUUUCAACGCGACCCCAGGUCAGGCGGGGUUACCCGCUGAAUUUAAGCAUAUCAAUAAGCGGAGGA
rnacentral:misc_RNA from 1 species